rnacentral:rRNA from 1 species
UACGUAGGGUGCGAGCGUUGUCCGGAAUUAUUGGGCGUAAAGAGCUCGUAGGCGGUCUGUCGCGUCUGGUGUGAAAUCCCAUGGCUCAACUGUGGGCUUGCAUCGGGUACGGGCAGACUAGAGUGCUGUAGGGGAGACUGGAAUUCCUGGUGUAGCGGUGGAAUGCGCAGAUAUCAGGAGGAACACCGAUGGCGAAGGCAGGUCUCUGGGCAGUUACUGACGCUGAGGAGCGAAAGCAUGGGGAGCGAACAGG